AUUGAACGCUGGCGGCAGGCCAAACACAUGCAAGUCGAACGGUAACAGGAAACAGCUUGCUGUUUCGCUGACGAGUGGCGGACGGGUGAGUAAUGUCUGGGAAACUGCCUGAUGGAGGGGGUUAACUACUGGAAACGGUAGCUAAUACCGCAUAACGUCGCAAGACCAAAGAGGGGGACCUUCGGGCCUCUUGCCAUCGGAUGUGCCCAGAUGGGAUUAGCUUGUUGGUGGGGUAACGGCUCACCAAGGCGACGAUCCCUAGCUGGUCUGAGAGGAUGACCAGCCACACUGGAACUGAGACACGGUCCAGACUCCUACGGGAGGCAGCAGUGGGGAAUAUUGCACAAUGGGCGCAAGCCUGAUGCAGCCAUGCCGCGUGUAUGAAGAAGGCCUUCGGGUUGUAAAGUACUUUCAGCGGGGAGGAAGGGAGGAAAGUUAAUACCUUGCCUCAUUGACGUUACCCGCAGAAGAAGCACCGGCUAACUCCGUG
rnacentral:rRNA from 1 species